rnacentral:rRNA from 11 species
GAAACAUCUAAGUACCCGGAGGAAGAGAAAACAAUAGUGAUUCCCUUAGUAGCGGCGAGCGAAGCGGGAAAAGCCCAAACCAGAGAUGUUACGGCAUUUCUGGGGUUGUAGGACUGUAAUGUGGACUAUAAAAUGAUAGUAGAAUAUAACUGGAAAGUUAAGCCAAAGAAGGUGAUAGCCCUGUAGACGAAAUCGUUUUAUUACCUAACAGUAUCCUGAGUAGCACGAAACACGUGAAAUUUUGUGUGAAUCUGCCGGAACCAUCCGGUAAGGCUAAAUACUACUGAGAGACCGA